ACGAGGUUCAGAAUAGGGAAGCGACUUGCUCAAGCCCACAAAGACGUUACAAACUGAGCUUAGAAUAGAACUCUGGUUUCCUGAUGCCCUGAUUAAUGUUUCCUGCUGGCUCAGCCCUAACCCAGAUGCUGCAACUGUGUCUCUGUUUUCCCCUCAUCACACUCUUUGGAAAUAGCAAGUGUGCAUGUGUGUGUUUGUAUGGAACUAGGAGGGUGGGCAUUAAAAGUCCUUCCUUGCAGCCGGACGCAGUGGCUCGUGUCUGUAAUCCCAGCACUUUGGGAGGCCGAGGUGGGCGGAUAACGAGAUCAAGAGAUUGAGAUCAUUCUGGCCAACAUGGUGAAACCACAUCUUCACUAAAAAUACAAAAAUUAGCUGGUUGUGGUGGCAUGUGCCUGUAGUCCCAGCUACUCGGGAGGCUGAGGCAGGAGAAUCGCUUGAACCUGAGAGGCGGAGGUUGCAGUCAGCUGAGAUCACCGCCACUGUACUCCAGCUUGGGCAACAGAGUAAAAAAGUCCAUCUCAAAAAAAAAAAAAAAAAAAAAAAAGUCCUUCCUUGCUAACAAUAUGAGCCUCACAGAAAUAAUUUGCUACUCUCAAAUGUGCACCACACAAUUUCCUUAGCUACACCCUGCCUCCAACAUGCCCUUGGCCCAGUUUCUACUUCUGAUAUUGUUCUGGGACUGCCACACUCAUAAUCUGUUGCUGCACAAUUGUACAGUCUUUCCCAUGGAGAAUGAGUCCAGCAUCACCUCAGCAGGCCUGCUGCUACUUUGUUUUUACUGGGACUGCAGAAGGGCUUCUCAGAGUCAGGAUCUCUCAAAAUGAGGUUGCAAUGUCCUCUGGGAAUAGCCUGUCUGAGAUUCAUUUUGGAGGCUCACAGACCCAAGUUCCUACAGAGAGUUCUGAGUCAGUCCUUGGGCAGCACGUCACCACACUGUAUCCAAUGCAGCUUUCCUGAAUGUCAGCAAAAUGGGACAAAGAGAAUGAAUGAGAAGGCGCCAGGGCAGCAGGAUGAAGGGAAGCUCACCUGAGCCUUCGUAUCUGCACUGUCACCUGCCUGAGACCUGUCCUGCCCAACCCUUGCCAGCAGGGACGAGCUCUGGAGAGAAACUGUAAAAACACCUAAA
rnacentral:lncRNA from 1 species